UCCUGCCUCAUUGAGACAUGAUGAGAUUGGCUUGACAACGCAACAGAUUUUUCAUAAGCGAUUUCAGGAAGAAAUGUCCGGUACAAAACCGGUCCGGUAUUAUUUUUUGGAUCGUAAAGGUUUUUUUAUUUCUGCUCCGGGGAGUUUUGAUGAAGCAAUGGAUACGAGUUACACACACACACACACACACACACACACACACACACACACACACACACACACACACACACAACUCUAAACACCCAUUCAGACAUUUGUCUACCUAUACAACAAAGCAAAUGACUCUGUAUUGUUUAUAAACAUUUUUUUUUCGACCAAUCGCAACCGUUUUCUAUUCAAGAUUUUUUUAAACAGCUGUAUAAAAUGUAAAACCGCAUUUUCGGAGUCGUGAUUUGAGGUGUAACAAGCUAAGAUGACGGGUAAGUUUUUAACUUAAGACGCAAAUCUUUUUUUCUCUUUCUGGUUUAACAUCUUUAUUUUCAGACGCUAUUGUCAUAUCGGACGGCGAGUGGGAAGAAAUUCCUAUUGAGGAAUUAACUUGUAAAACUCCGGUCCCUCUCGAUGAUUUGUCUAAAAUUAAUCGUGCGGUCGAGAAUCUGAAAAAGGAGGGGGUUCAACCUUACCCCGGAAGUGAUAACUUUUACCCAACCACGCCUCCAUCCACCAGCCGAACCGUCUUACAUUCGUAUCAGCCCAGCCAUACCGUCAGAUCACACGCGAAUGCGAACGUGAAAGCUGUUCGUUACAGGACCAUCACGCCACAGACGAUCCUCGAAGCUGGUAAGUGAUUACAAAAUAGCGAUUAAUAAGUCAGAGAUGUGUCGUUCAUAUUUAUCGUUUUUAUUCUCCAGAGCAACGGCCCACGGCCUACGCACCCCCAAUAUCUCAGCCCCCACCACCUCCAACCCCUUCUCAUGCGCAGACGGAUGAACAACAUCAGACAGCCGCUUCAAUAUCUCCGCCCACACCUCCUCCUCCUCCUCCUCCUCCCCCUUCUCCUGCACAGGGUAAGAGAUAUAUAAAAAGGUGGUUAUUUACUUCAAAGAUGAUUCGUUCAUAUUUUUCCUUGUUUUUAUUCUUUCAGAACAAUCCAACAGCGACUCUGAAACCGCUGAACGUGCUCCUGAGCAGCCAGCCGGUAAGCUGUUUCACAAAACCGCUCCGCAGAGUAUAUUAAAUUUUGAAGUAAAAAAAUAUGUUUUUUAUCCUUUCAGAACAACCCACGACCG